rnacentral:lncRNA from 1 species
AGGGGCUCUCAUUGCAUUUUAAUCGGUAUAGAACGAUUUGUUGUCAGCUUUGCUCCAACUGCAAAUUUUAAGUUUUAUUUUUAGAAAAGUGUCAUGUAAAAAAAAUAUACAAAAUUUAUCUUUGAGACGCAUACAGAUACAGACGCAGUACAUUCAUUGUAUACAAAGCGUUCAGACAAUUCUUUGACCUUGCUUUGGACAUUUUACAACACUUAAGCACAUCGAACAUUGUUGACAUAAAUACAACUCAACGCACAACUGUUUAUCCCCGAUACACCGAUAAAAUGGUAAUUAUACCCUGAGGAAUUUUGAAUUCAAGGGGAUGGGAUUAUGGGGUCGGUGGUGCAAAGUCACAGCAUUUGCGCUUUUUGUGGUUGCGGGUGAGUGGUUGUUUUUUGACGUUUUACAAUACUGGCGACCAAGUCGCCGACAACAACAAAACGCAGUGCUUAAAUUUAUAAAUUUAAAUGCGCUUUUAUCGGAUCUUGUGUUUACCCUGGGUUCUCUGAGCAUGCGCAGCCGUUCGUUAUGUGCGCCAUCACCCAUCUAUUCGCUGGAACUUUCACAUGCUAUAGGUAAAAGCGCCGUAACCAGUUGACACGCGUUUAUCUGUUUUACUAUGUUGCAGGCUGUUCGCAGGUACGUGAAGGGACACGAAGCACACUUUCUCAAACUAACACUUAAGCAAACUAACUUGGUGCAGCCUCAUGAUGGGAAGGAGCGCAUCUCUAAACCAAGCUAGCCUGGCACACCGCCGGGCGAUCUGAAACCUCGCUGUCUGAAAUUGCUGUCUGUGCGGCUAGGCAUCUGGACACCGCACGGCGAGGUGGACUUGCCUGAAUGGCACACGAGCUGGACACCUAAUUUCAUGCAUCGUUGGCGGUGCCGCUAAUAUCUCAAUUUAAAAAAAGUUUCCAUCCCAGCUGACGAAAGCUACAGAGUAAGCCGCGGAUUUAGCUUCAACGGAUUAGAUCACGGAUACAGGGAUCAAGAAUAUGUCGGCAACUGAGUUUGCAAGUGCCACUUUCUGCCUACGAAAAUUAACCAUCCCCGCAAAUAUUGAGACCAUUAGAAUAAGCAAAACUUUUAAAAGUUUUAUGUU